AAUGUAAUCACAUGAGCCCUUAAAAACGAGAGUAGCGCAGAAGAGGAAGUCAGAGAAAUUCAAAGCAUGAGAAGGACUCAACUUCCCUUGCUGGCUUGAAGAUGGAAGGAGCCACGUGGAAAGUGUCAAAGGAAGUUAAUUUGGCCAACAACCAGUGAGCUUGGAAGAGGACCCUGGACCCUAGUCUGACGUCCGAAAGGAAGCCUUGGUUUGGCAGGGGACUCCCUCCGUGACUUCAGACAAAGGAAGCCGUUGUCUGGCCUUCACGAUUGCAAAACUGAAUGGGGUAAGAAAUUACAGAACUCUAAUACAGAAACUGAUGACCUCAUAAAACUGCCAACAGAAGAUUAAGAUCAAGAAUGAAUUACACAGGACUGA
rnacentral:lncRNA from 1 species